GCCAGGCGCGGCGGCGCACGCCUGUAAUCUCAGUGGCUUGGGAGGCUAAGGCAGGAGGAUCAAGAGUUCAAAGCCAGCCUCAGCAAAAGCGAGGCGCUAAGUAACUCAGUGAGACCCUGUCUCUA
rnacentral:sRNA from 1 species